AGCUGAGACUACCCACACCUUGGUCCCAGCUACUUGGGAGGCUGAGGUGGGAAAAUCACUUUGCCCAGGAAUUCAAGGCCGCAGUGAGCUAUGAUUGCACCACUGCACUCCAGGCAACAGAGUGAGACCCUGUCUUAAAAAAAAGAAGGGAGAAAGUGUCAGAUGGUGAUGAGGUCUGGGGGGGAAAUAGAGAAUGGGGAUCAGGAGUGUGGAUGGUGAUAUUCCCUCACCAAGAGGUGACAUGUGAGCAGGGAGCUGGGAGGUGAGGGUGUGACCCGUGUGGAAAUCAGGGAAAAGCAUUCCAGCCUGAGGGAACAGCCAAUGCAGAGGCCGUGAGGUGGCCAGUGCCACUGAGCAGUGAGCUGGGAUAGGGGCAGGUGAGGAGGCUGGAGAGCGGGGUCAGACAAACAAUAUGCUUAUUAAAACAAGUUGUACAGCACCUGCCUCAAGCCUGAGCUGAAGCUGAAAAUUGGCACUUCAAAGCAGGAGGAAGCAGAGAUGGAGGAAAGCCCUCCUUCCCUACCAGAAUGAGUCCACCUCAGACAGCCAGACUUUGGACCUCUGCCUUUGUUCCUAGAUCUCUGUUGCUAGAUGAAGGAAAGGGCCUCAGGGGAUCCAUCUUCAAAUCAAGGGCUCCCUGGCUACCAAAUUCUGUCUAGUAAAAAUUAUUCGAGCAGCGUG
rnacentral:lncRNA from 1 species